GGCGUGGUAGCUCAGUUGGUUAGAGCGCAGGAUUCAUAACCCUGAGGUCGGGAGUUCAAAUCUCCCUCACGCUACCA
rnacentral:tRNA from 1 species